GAUGAACGCUAGCGGGAGGCUUAACACAUGCAAGUCGAGGGGCAGCAUAGGGUAGCAAUACUCUGAUGGCGACCGGCAAACGGGUGAGUAACGCGUAUGCAACUACCCUGUACAGGGGGAUAACCCGGAGAAAUUCGGACUAAUAUCCCGUAAUAAUAUCCGGAGGCAUCUUUGGAUAUUUAAAGUUCCGACGGUACGGGAUGGGCAUGCGUAACAUUAGCUGGUUGGUAAGGUAACGGCUUACCAAGGCUAUGAUGUUUAGGGGUCCUGAGAGGGUGGUCCCCCACACUGGUACUGAGACACGGACCAGACUCCUACGGGAGGCAGCAGUGAGGAAUAUUGGUCAAUGGGCGCAAGCCUGAACCAGCCAUCCCGCGUGCAGGAAGACGGCCCUAUGGGUUGUAAACUGCUUUUCCAGGGAGAGAAACUUACGCACGUGUUGCGUGACUGACGGUACCCUGGGAAUAAGCAUCGGCUAACUCCGUG
rnacentral:rRNA from 1 species